AUAUCAAUAAGCGGAGGAAAAGAAACCAACAGGGAUUGCCUUAGUAACGGCGAGUGAAGCGGCAAAAGCUCAAAUUUGAAAUCUAGCACUUUCAGUGUUCGAGUUGUAAUUUGAAGAAGGUAACUUUGGAAUUGGCUCUUGUCUAUGUUCCUUGGAACAGGACGUCACAGAGGGUGAGAAUCCCGUGCGAUGAGAUGUCCAAUUCUAUGUAAAGUGCUUUCGAAGAGUCGAGUUGUUUGGGAAUGCAGCUCUAAGUGGGUGGUAAAUUCCAUCUAAAGCUAAAUAUUGGCGAGAGACCGAUAGCGAACAAGUACAGUGAUGGAAAGAUGAAAAGAACUUUGAAAAGAGAGUGAAAAAGUACGUGAAAUUGUUGAAAGGGAAGGGCUUGAGAUCAGACUUGGUAUUUUGUGUUCCUUAUCCUUCUUGGAUUAGGUUCCUCACAGCUUACCGGGCCAGCAUCGGUUUGGAUGGCAGGAUAAUGACAUUGGAAUGUAGCUUUGCUUCGGUGAAGUGUUAUAGACUUUGUUGAUACUGCCUAUCUAGACCGAGGACUGCGUCUUUGACUAGGAUGCUGGCGUAAU
rnacentral:rRNA from 2 species